rnacentral:rRNA from 1 species
CACGUGUAGCGGUGAAAUGCGUAGAGAUGUGGAGGAACACCAGUGGCGAAGGCGGCUUUCUGGUCUGUAACUGACGCUGAGGCGCGAAAGCGUGGGGAGCAAACAGGAUUAGAUACCCUGGUAGUCCACGCCGUAAACGAUGAGUGCUAAGUGUUAGGGGGUUUCCGCCCCUUAGUGCUGCAGCUAACGCAUUAAGCACUCCGCCUGGGGAGUACGGCCGCAAAGGCUG